rnacentral:rRNA from 1 species
UACGUAGGGUGCGAGCGUUGUCCGGAUUUAUUGGGCGUAAAGAGCUCGUAGGCGGUUUGUCGCGUCGGCCGUGAAAUCUCCACGCUUAACGUGGAGCGUGCGGUCGAUACGGGCAGACUUGAGUUCGGUAGGGGAGACUGGAAUUCCUGGUGUAGCGGUGAAAUGCGCAGAUAUCAGGAGGAACACCGGUGGCGAAGGCGGCUCACUGGUCCAUUACUGACGCUGAGGUGCGAAAGCGUGGGGAGCAAACAGG